AAAAACAUGAAAUUUCAUUUUACAUUUGUUACAAAGUGGUACUUCUAAAACUGUCAUAAAAGUGGUAAGCUUACAGCUUGAUGAAUUGAGUGAUGAUAGUAUCACCAAGGCGUCAUGAAAGACAAAAAAAAUGUACAUGUCUUACUGCUCGUUUACAAAACUGUUUCAGCUGUUUCCGGACAUUGUUUACAGCUGAAGGUCUUGGAAGAAACUAUCACUAGACCAGAAGAGAAAAAAAAGAUAACUCUAUCGGUAAGGAAACAUUUUUCCCAUGGAAGUAUUCCUUUGAGUUGAAUCUUGCAGUGCAACUUCCCUUGAAGGUGACAGUAUUAAUGAGACCCUUGAGAAUAGAAAGAAGAAAUAUGUUAAUUGGAAAUACAGGUGCAGAACAUUUCAUCAUUCAGAUUCUUUUGGGUGAACCCUGUUACACUAACUAAUAGGAAUAAUGAUACCCUUGAGAAUAGAAAGAAGAAACAUGUUAAUUGGGAAUACAGGUGCAAAACAUUUGAUCAAUGGGUUUCUUAGGGUGAACCUUGUUACACUAACUAACAGGAACUGCUGAUUUCAGAAGUUACCUAAGGUGACUACAUAUGCAGAAUGAGUAAAGAUUGGCACUCAAAGCUUCACUUGAAUAUGCGGAAACCCUGUUGAAACAUAUACAGGAUUAGAAGAAAUUAAUUUCACUGUUCCGUAUGAAAGAACAGGCUCUAAGAAAAUAACAUCUCGUUUCUGUCCUUGGGAGACAAAUAAAUAGAGAACUUACAUGUCUCUGCAGGAAAGAAGUUACUAACGGCAGCUGAAUUUCAUUGUCCUUGCAAGUUACAAUCUCAAAAAGGAAUUUUUGGCGUAGAGCUUGUAAAUCAUCCUACAAUAUUUUAGAAAAAGUGCAGUUUAAUUCCUGAUAUGUUCCAAUUAAUGACAAAAAAGGAGAAUUAUGUCUAUCGCUUACAUUAGAGAACCCCUCCAAUCCGAGACCUUUGUACUUGCUAAAAAAUGAACAUUUAACUGGGG
rnacentral:lncRNA from 1 species